GCAGUGCAAGGCCCAGGGGUCUGGGAGUAGGGGCUGCAUGGGAGGGAGCACAGUUUGGGUGCUAGUGCCCCCCCCCUUUUAGGGACCUUCGAUCACCCCUGGCAAAAGGAGAAAUUACAUGGAGAAGGGAAAUAACCGGGAGGGAGGGGAUGUCCACAGGUCAAUCAGUCAGGAGAAAGGAAUUUCCAUUGUCCCUUUGUCAUAAACAAGUACUGUUUAUAAAGGGGAGAUUUCCUGGCAGGUAGUUGGAAUGGUUCAGGCUGCAGUACCACUUCCCCGAAUCAGUAACGUAUUUACACUCCUGUAUCCUGCUGGUGGACUUCCCUGUGAAUGUUCUAGCCAGAAUAGAGUAAUGAUCCCAACUAUGACUCAUGGAAGCAUGCAAGGGCAUGUGACUAGAUCAUGUGCUCCUGGCCUCCAUCUUGUACCUGUACUUUUAUGCUAACUAAACUGUGCUGGGGACUUUUGUUUCGAACAAUGAAGUGCUCUGCACAUGGCAGAAGCUAUAAAGGGAGGAAGUGACAUCAUCACUUAGCCUCACUCCCCCCACAACUCAACACCUGGAAACACCUCAGGAACAAAGACUGAAUGGGGGAAGAUGGUCAUAAGGAGGGAAAGAAGGUAUCCCAGCCUUUGUCUGAAAGAUCUGCAUACUGCUUAUACUAUCAGGGGACACAGCUUGGGAUCUAACCUUCCUCCAGACCUCCAGCCCUGCCCAGUGCCCGGCUAACACAUCAGCACACGGUGUCCUGGGAACAGGAGUCAGAUGCAAAUUCAUCCUCCAACCUGGCUCCUGAGACUGUAUAUCCCAACAAGCCCAUCCCUGUGAUGCACUGCAAUCCAUUGCCAAAAUGCUGAGAAACAGAAAGUGCCAAUUUGCACUGUGGGAUAGCUACCCCCAGUGCACUGCUCUCUUUGUCGAUGCUUAAGCACCAAUUGUGGACGUGCUCCACCAACAUAAGGAGCAUUGUGUGGACAUGCACAAGUGAUGUAAUUACAGUAGUUUAUGAUCAUCAAUGGAACUUAAGUUGACUCCACUCUGUAGUGUAGACGUGGCCCAAGACAGGAGACAACAGGUGGAACUCCAAUUCUUGAAAGCGGUCAGGAAAGAGCUGACACACACAUGCAUCCUUCUCCCAUUUUUUUUAAAUGAGUUAACGGAGAGGAUACGCAACAUCACUAGAGAUAUAACCAGGGCAAAACUUAAACCUCUAGCAUAUCAGUGCCAAGCCUUAGCCACCGAUCCACACCACUGUCUGGCAUUGGAUGUGAUAAAUUUUGAAUGCUUGAUCUGAUCAAUUCCAGAAUUUCAGGGCAUAUUCUAGGCAUCAGUGGCCAGAAAACUAUUGAUUUGGGGGAUAUUCAGAACAUUGAAAGAGGGGGGAAAUGGGUGACAUAUGGAGUCACUCUCAUUUUAACAACAGCCAUUAGCACCUUGCAGCGUAACAAUCCCCUGCUCAUCCUUCCACUAGAGUAAUGUGUCAACACCCUAAAUGACAAACUGUCCCUGUUGGGACCCAAGGGAGAGAUAUUCAGCCAGCAAGGGCAGCUGGAGGGAGAAGGCUUCAUUCAUCCAGGGCCAUC